ACGUGGAAAACUUCGACAUUGCUUCUUUCCCUUCCCCAUCUGAGGAAAAGGAAAGCAGAAAAAGAAACUGACUUAGAGAAAGGAUAAAGAACACUACUUGAGCUACUCAUUGAAAAGAAGCCACUAAGGAUCUCAAAUAUCAUAAUGGAAGAGGAUAUCCUCGGAGGUAUGCUGAAUCCACACCUGAUUCCCGCACCAAAGCUACCCUUCCAGUCCGAGCCACCUUCAAGCAUAGGGAGAGAAGAAAGAGGAAAUUUGAAAAAAAUAAAAAAUCAUUUCACUUGAUAUGAGGGAUGAGAAUAUUUAUCCAUCAGCUAAGCACAAUAAUAAACUCCUUUGAAUCUGACUCAAUCCUUAUAUCCCAUAGGACAGAUUACUAAAUAAUUUUAAGGACUGGCACGUAACAGCAACAUAGAGAACACAGUUAGAAAACUUCAUUUUAAACAAAUAUGAAUAACCCAGUCCACUUGGGAUCACCAAAUGGAACACAAAUUCUCCCAACUAUUUGCAGAAAUCAACAAAUGAACUGAGUCCAGCAAGGUUCAGGAAAACAAAGGUUAAAAAUUCCUUUGCAAUAAAAUGAAACUUGGUAAAAUAAGAAUGAGAGGACAGACCUCACAAAUCCCAAAUGGCUCCAACAGUCUCUGCAGGGCAGCCAUCUUGUUUAAAUCACCUGUUAGCUGGGUAGAAACAAAUAGCUAGAGGAUUACAAAAAUUGGAAAACAAAUAAAAGAUUUUGAUGAAGACAACCAAUAGAACAGGAAUCCACUGGCAUAGCAAUAAAUGUAGAGCUCCUAUAUAGCAGGUAAUAACAAGUAUCCGCAUGGUCCCACUGCCUAAUUAUUUUCACUGCUUUGAUUAUUAUAUUCUGAUAUUAAUCAACUCAUAAAUGGUUAGAUUUCAGCUCCUAGAUUAAUGAUUUUGAUAACAAGGUACAUGCAAUCAUAGGAAUAUUGGACAUAAAAUUGAGCAGCUGAUUGACUUUAGAAGAUUUUUCAACGUUUGAAGUAAUAGUGACCAACUCCUCAGUUCACAUUCCCACAGAAGUCUUUUACUGCAAAAUACUUUACUCUACCAACUAUUUAAUGGAAACUUACAUCAAUGCCAUUCAAGAUUUGAUUGACAAUGGUGAAAAUCCAAUAAGAAUCAUUGAUGGUAAUAUCAUACUACGGUAGCUCGAUUGAACAGUGUUUAUUUUCAUAUGGCUUGAAUUUUGAAUAUAUUUUCAUAGACCCGAAUUGUGACCUGACUUGAAAGUUUCGCGUUGCACCCCAAUCACAGACCUCGUUGGGGCUACGGGGGGCAACUGUUAGAAUUGUUGAGAUUUUAGUAGGUGAAUAUCU
rnacentral:misc_RNA from 1 species